ACAAUCGCUCUUAAUACGAACGCCUGUCUUAAACCCCACGGGGUGAAGUUUAAAGUACAACUUUCAACAACGGAUCUCUUGGCUUUCGCAUCGAUGAAGAACGCCGCGAAAGUGCGAAACGUAAUGUGAAUUGCAGAAUUCAGUGAAUCAUCGAAUCUUUGAACGCAUCUUGCGCUCCUUGGUAUUCCGAGGAGCAUGCCUGUUUGAGUGUCGUGUGAAACCUCGAAGCCCUUUCCCUUCGGUGUCAGGGUUGUCGGAUUUGGAUGUUUGCGGUGUUGAGAGAGGCCCCCUUAGAGGCCUCGACCGCUCGUCUUGAAAUGCAUUAGCUUGGUCCCCCCUCGGACGACGACGGCGUGAUAAUAGACGCUUUGUUGAACUCGUCGGACGUCUAAUCGAGAGGGGGACCGCUGACAGCCGUCCUUUGCGGGACAGUGUUUGAACGUGUGACCUCAAAUCAGGUAGGACUACCCGCUGAACUUAAGCAUAUCAAUAAGCGGAGGAAAAGAAACUAACAAGGAUUCCCCUAGUAACGGCGAGUGAAGCGGGA
rnacentral:rRNA from 1 species